rnacentral:rRNA from 1 species
UACGUAGGGUGCAAGCGUUGUCCGGAAUUAUUGGGCGUAAAGAGCUCGUAGGCGGUUUGUCGCGUCUGCUGUGAAAACUCGGGGCUUAACUCCGGGCCUGCAGUGGGUACGGGCAGACUAGAGUGCGGUAGGGGAGACUGGAAUUCCUGGUGUAGCGGUGAAAUGCGCAGAUAUCAGGAGGAACACCGGUGGCGAAGGCGGCAUCCUGGACCGGCAUUGACGCUGAGGCGCGAAAGCCAGGGGAGCAAACGGG